GACGAACGCUGGCGGCGUGCUUAACACAUGCCAGUCGAACGGAAAGGCCCUGCUUUUGUGGGGUGCUCGAGUGGCGAACGGGUGAGUAACACGUGAGUAACCUGCCCUUGACUUUGGGAUAACUUCAGGAAACUGGGGCUAAUACCGGAUAGGAGCUCCUGCUGCAUGGUGGGGGUUGGAAAGUUUCGGCGGUUGGGGAUGGACUCGCGGCUUAUCAGCUUGUUGGUGGGGUAGUGGCUUACCAAGGCUUUGACGGGUAGCCGGCCUGAGAGGGUGACCGGCCACAUUGGGACUGAGAUACGGCCCAGACUCCUACGGGAGGCAGCAGUGGGGAAUAUUGCACAAUGGGCGGAAGCCUGAUGCAGCAACGCCGCGUGCGGGAUGACGGCCUUCGGGUUGUAAACCGCUUUCGCCUGUGACGAAGCGUGAGUGACGGUAAUGGGUAAAGAAGCACCGGCUAACUGCGUG
rnacentral:rRNA from 1 species